UGAUGAUUCGGCUCGUAGUACGAUGAACACUGUAGCUAAAGAUGGCUACUAACAUGCACGAAGUAAUUCAAUCGCUGAGUUUUCCGAAGCUUUUUUCAGUGCUGGAAUACCCGUAGUAU
rnacentral:rRNA from 12 species